UGUGUCCAACCUGCCGCCAAGUGGAAAUAGUCUGUGUGGCGCUCGUAAAUAGAGAGCAUUCUGGUAGAAAGAUGAAUAUUAGCGAGACUGGCUAAAUUCUGAACAUGUUCCAUGUGAGAGAAAUAGCAUGUUGAUUUCAUCUUGAAAUAAUCAUAGCUGAGGGACGAGCUUCGUAACUAAGGGUCAUGUGUAGAGCUGAAGGAAGAAGUUGCGAGGCUUGGAACUCUCCUUGUGAAGGGCUCAGGGACAGCAGUGAGGACAAUGCCUCUUUAGUUGUAAUUGUGAUACUCCUGAUCUGCAAGUAAACACUCCUGUGAUACUAAAUGUUGGUUGUUAGUA